UUCUUCUGAACACUUCUGAACACUUCCCAGUCUAAUCUGAUGAAGUCCUUAGAAAUGAGUGUAGAAUGCUUUCUUAAGGAGCAUGAAAGGGAUGCACUAUGAUGAAAUAUACAGAGAGAAAAGAAACUAGUAAGCAAAGGAUUGUGUUGAGUAAUAGAUUUUCCUGUUUCCUGCUGGGGGGAAAUGCUUUCAUACCUAACUAGCCUAUUAAGCAAGUUCAUGAAGGCAUUGUCUUUAUAAAUACGGCACCAAGUACAUAUUCCUCAUACUCAUUUCUGUGCUGGGAGAAGGCUUAAAUUCUAGCUUCCUGUAAAUAACAAAAGGCAGAGCAAGAGGGGGUCAUGCAGACACUUAAGAACUUGCUCUUUGUGAGCGUUUUCAUCCUUUGGGUAGAGCUGCCACCUGCAAUGCUGGAUGGGAAACUAAGCAAACCUGGUUUCUGCCCAAUAGAUCGUUGUGACUGUGUUGGUCCUCAACCAAAUGAAUGCAAGAAUGAUUAUACUUGUACAGGAAAUCAGAAAUGUUGUAUGUUUUGUUGUGCAAUGCGCUGCAAGGAUCCAGAAAAAGUGAGACCAGGAAUGUGCCCCCCUGAUACGGUUAUCUGUGCCAAACCUAGAAGAAAUGAAUGCCAAAGUGACAUUAAUUGUCCUAGCCCAAAAAAAUGCUGUUAUAAUUCUUGUGCUUAUCAUUGUGUGAACCCUGUGUAAAGAACUAAUGAAUUCCUUGAUAGGCUGUGAAAUGGAUCAUGUCUUGAAAACACCUCCCUCUCCGCUCCCAUCCUUCACUGGCUUCAUUUGGGGGAAAACCCAGGCAUAAUUCUGAAUAAAGUUUGUUUAUGCAGCAAA